CACGUAGGGUGCGAGCGUUGUCCGGAAUUAUUGGGCGUAAAGAGCUCGUAGGCGGUUUGUCGCGUCUGUCGUGAAAGCUUGGGGCUUAACCCCAAGUCUGCGGUGGAUACGGGCAGACUAGAGGCAGGUAGGGGAGAACGGAAUUCAUGGUGUAGCAGUGAAAUGCGUAGAGAUCAUGAGGAAGACCAGUGGCGAAGGCGGGUCUCUGGACAGUUCCUGACACUGAGGCACGAAGGCCAGGGGAGCAAACGGG
rnacentral:rRNA from 1 species